rnacentral:rRNA from 1 species
UGGGGAAUUUUGGACAAUGGGCGCAAGCCUGAUCCAGCCAUGCCGCGUGCAGGAUGAAGGCCUUCGGGUUGUAAACUGCUUUUGUACGGAACGAAAAGACUCCUUCUAAUAAAGGGGGUCCAUGACGGUACCGUAAGAAUAAGCACCGGCUAACUACGUGCCAGCAGCCGCGGUAAUACGUAGUGUGCGAGCGUUAAUCGGAAUUACUGGGCGUAAAGCGCUCGCAGGCGGUGGUAUAAGACAGAUGUGAAAUCCCCGGGCUCAAUCUGGGAACUGCAUUUGUGACUGUAUGGCUAGAGUACGGCGGAGGGGGAUGGAAUUCGGCGUGUAGCGGUGAAAUGCGUAGAUAUGAGAAGGAAAACCGAUGGCGAAGGCAAUCCCCUGGGCAUGUACUGACGCUCAUGCACGAAAGCGUGGGGAGCAAACA